rnacentral:lncRNA from 1 species
UUCAGCCUUCAAAACUGUGAAAACCAAUUCUAUUAAUUUAUAAAUUACCUAGUCUGUGAUAUUUUGUUAUAGCAGCACAAAUGACUAAGAUACUUGGACAGCUUAAGAUGUCAAUAAACUCCCAAAAAGAAGGAAUUCGUAAGGACCACAUUGGAUGCAGCAGAUAUAAAUGACCAGACACACAUCAAGUACACCUCAGCCGGGCGAUACAGUAAAGAAAAGGAAGGACAUUUUGUAUAGCCUGUAAGAGAGCAACAAAUAUUAAGAAGAAAAAAUGAAAUGCAACAGGAA